AUUGAACGCUGGCGGCAGGCCUAACACAUGCAAGUCGAACGAGUGGCGGACGGGUGAGUAAUGUCUGGGAAACUGCCCGAUGGAGGGGGAUAACUACUGGAAACGGUGGCUAAUACCGCAUACUAUCAGAUCUGCCCAUAUGGGAUUAGCUAGUUGGUGGGGUAACGGCUCACCAAGGCGACGAUCCCUAGCUGGUCUGAGAGGAUGACCAGCCACACUGGAACUGAGACACGGUCCAGACUCCUACGGGAGGCAGAAGUGGGGAAUAUUGGACAAUGGGCGCAAGCAUGAUGCAGCCAUGCCGCGUGUAUGAAGAAGGCCUUCGGGUUGUAAAGUACUUUCAGCGGGGAGGCGUUACCCGCAGAAGAAGCACCGGCUAACUCCGUGCCAGCAGCCGCGGUAAUAC
rnacentral:rRNA from 1 species